rnacentral:rRNA from 1 species
GACGAACGCUGGCGGCGUGCUUAACACAUGCAAGUCGAACGGAAAGGCCCUGCUUUUGUGGGGUGCUCGAGUGGCGAACGGGUGAGUAACACGUGAGUAACCUGCCCUUGACUUUGGGAUAACUUCGGGAAACUGGGGCUAAUACCGGAUAGGAGCUCCUGCUGCAUGGUGGGGGUUGGAAAGUUUCGGCGGUUGGGGAUGGACUCGCGGCUUAUCAGCUUGUUGGUGGGGUAGUGGCUUACCAAGGCUUUGACGGGUAGCCGGCCUGAGAGGGUGACCGGCCACAUUGGGACUGGGAUACGGCCCAGACUCCUACGGGAGGCAGCAGUGGGGAAUAUUGCACAAUGGGCGGAAGCCUGAUGCAGCAACGCCGCGUGCGGGAUGACGGCCUUCGGGUUGUAAACCGCUUUCGCCUGUGACGAAGCGUGAGUGACGGUAAUGGGUAAAGAAGCACCGGCUAACUACGUG